CCCUUGUUUGAUUAGCCAGCCUUUCUUCAUGUACAUCAAAUCCUGGAACGUCAAUUUUCAAAUUGAGAAAAAGAGGACAUGCAAAGCUAUUUUCAGCUCCAAAGCAUGAUAGUUUUUAACACCUACAUACCAAACCUACAGUAUAUGCAGAUGAGGCAGAUUUCCACAUGUCAUCACUAUAUAUACUCUACGAAAACAAUAUGGAGUGUUGAUCUUACCUCAUAUCGCGAGGACUGACUUGGGGUUCCACUAAUUACAGCUACUUCUGACGGUGUACCUCUACAGAGCUGUGUUGGACCUUGUUAUAAAGACUCACCCGUAACACACAGAAGUAUUGUAUCCACUGAACACAGAAACACUACAUCUACUGACUCAGAGUGAAGGCUUUACAAACCUCCCAUGAUUUAUAUUACUUUCUUUGAAGUAAUCUUAGAAUGACAGACAAUAAAACUAUAAAUGUCUUUAAAUUUUAUACCCACAACAUUUUUAACACUACUUACAUGUGCAGUGUAUAUUCUACUUAAAGCGAGUUUCAUUUCCAUCCACUAACAUCAGUACUGAAUUACAAAUUAGUGCAUAUGAAUUCUUAAGAAAACUUAUGCAUUAAAAUCUUUGCAU